rnacentral:rRNA from 1 species
UAACUGAAUCCAUAGGUUAAUGAGGCGAACCGGGGGAACUGAAACAUCUAAGUACCCCGAGGAAAAGAAAUCAACCGAGAUUCCCCCAGUAGCGGCGAGCGAACGGGGAGGAGCCCAGAGCCUGAAUCAGCAUGUGUGUUAGUGGAAGCGUCUGGAAAGGCGCGCGAUACAGGGUGACAGCCCCGUACACAAAAGCGCAUGUGCUGUGAGCUCGAUGAGUAGGGCGGGACACGUGGUAUCCUGUCUGAAUAUGGGGGGACCAUCCUCCAAGGCUAAAUACUCCUGACUGACCGAUAGUGAACCAGUACCGUGAGGGAAAGGCGAAAAGAACCCCGGCGAGGGGAGUGAAAAAGAACCUGAAACCGUGUACGUACAAGCAGUGGGAGCACCCUUUGGGUGUGACUGCGUACCUUUUGUAUAAUGGGUCAGCGACUUAUAUUCUGUAGCAAGGUUAACCGAAUAGGGGAGCCGGAGGGAAACCGAGUCUUAACCGGGCGUUAAGUUGCAGGGUAUAGACCCGAAACCCGGUGAUCUAGCCAUGGGCAGGUUGAAGGUUGGGUAACACUAACUGGAGGACCGAACCGACUAAUGUUGAAAAAUUAGCGGAUGACCUGUGGCUGGGGGUGAAAGGCCAAUCAAACCGGGAGAUAGCUGGUUCUCCCCGAAAGCUAUUUAGGUAGCGCCUCGUGAAUUCAUCUCCGGGGGUAGAGCACUGUUUCGGCUAGGGGGCCAUCCCGGCUUACCAACCCGAUGCAAACUGCGAAUACCGGAGAAUGUUAUCACGGGAGACACACGGCGGGUGCUAACGUCCGUCGUGAAGAGGGAAACAACCCAGACCGCCAGCUAAGGUCCCAAAGUCAUGGUUAAGUGGGAAACGAUGUGGGAAGGCCCAGACAGCCAGGAUGUUGGCUUAGAAGCAGCCAUCAUUUAAAGAAAGCGUAAUAGCUCACUGGUCGAGUCGGCCUGCGCGGAAGAUGUAACGGGGCUAAACCAUG